AUGGGCAAAAAGGAAGGAGAGGGAAGGGCGCGGGACGGCGGAGCACUGGCCUGGUCGACGGCGGUCGGCAAGGGCAGCGUCGUGCUCAAGGACGAGCUCGGGCGUGGAGCAGAACCAUGGAAGGGGGCUUGCGGGAGUUGCAGGGAGCACCUCCUGGAUGUUGGAUCUCUAUCCAAGGGUCCAGAUGGAUGGAUCUGGGGGUUGGGUGGUGGCUGGACAAGGAGGAAGGUUGGUAGCUGUUGUUGGCUCGAUGUGGACUCUGAGGAGGAUUUGGACAGGGGGGUGGCGGCAGACGGCAGGGAAGAUGGGACAGCCCCCUAG
rnacentral:rRNA from 1 species